AUUGAACGCUGGCGGCAUGCCUUACACAUGCAGGUCGAACGGCAGCACGGGAGCAAUCCUGGUGGCGAGUGGCGAACGGGUGAGUAAUAUAUCGGAACGUGCCCAGUCGUGGGGGAUUACGUAGCGAAAGCUACGCUAAUACCGCAUACGAUCUAUGGAUGAAAGCGGGGGAUCGCAAGACCUCGCGCGAUUGGAGCGGCCGAUAUCAGAUUAGCUAGUUGGUGGGGUAAAGGCCCACCAAGGCGACGACCUGUAGCUGGUCUGAGAGGACGACCAGCCACACUGGGACUGAGACACGGCCCAGACUCCUACGGGAGGCAGCAGUGGGGAAUUUUGGACAAUGGGCGCAAGCCUGAUCCAGCAAUGCCGCGUGCAGGACGAAGGCCUUCGGGUUGUAAACUGCUUUAGUACGGAACGAAGCGGCCCCUUCUAAUACAGGGGGCUAAUGACGGUACCGUAAGAAUAAGCACCGGCUAACUACGUGCCAGCCGCCGCCGUAA
rnacentral:rRNA from 1 species